UGCAUAGGAUAAUCAGUCUUGGAACUUGCAAUGAAUGGAAGUAUUGAUUUGCUAAUAUGAAGUAAUUUGUGUGAUCUAAAUACAGUGCAUACAAUAUGUGCAAAUUGAUUCCAGUUAAUCAUUUUUGACUGUUCUCCUAAAUCUUGCUGCUGACCUAGACAUACAUGAACAACUCUAAAAAUAGGUAUAACCUGUGAACUGCAAGGAGGUGUGCAAAACAUUGUGUGUAUGAAGAUUCUGAAAGUCAUGAGAAGUUCCUGACAGAAGAGCAAGAAGCUUCAUUUGUACUCAGGCACUCCAGACAAAGGAAUAUCCAUGUGUUCUCCAUUGUUCCCUUCUGCCCUGGUACCACUGAGUCCUUCUGGCUGCUGCUCUGCCUUCUGGAAUAAGAAUACUUUAGGUUCACCCUGGCCACUGCAGCAGCUUCUCAGAAUUGUGAUUCUAUCAAAAUAAAGGACUGUUUUCUCA